AAAAGAGAAAAGAAAAGAAAAAGGAUUCAACUCUCUUCUUUCUCCUUCCCGAUUCUUCUAGAAACGCCGACCGCCCCCUCCUAUUGAAAUUUCUCUUCUGCCAACCAUCUCUCUUACAUGCCGGCAAUGACCUCUCUCUGGCGCCUGACGACAACUGCACGCUGAUGAAUCCCAACUAUCCCGGCCAUAGUGCGCCUCUCGCCUCGCCGGACUAGGAAAAAAAAAGACAUAAGGUUCGUUGUACUCGAACUUGAGAUGUGAUACUAAGAUGAAAAGGCUGUUGUUGCCAACUCGAGUAUUAGUCUCUUUUGCCUCUGAGAGCCAUCACUUCCGUUGAAGAUGAAAAGCCUGUUGUUGCCUCUUCUCAAACCAUUAUCAACAAGACUUUAGAGGAUCCUAAAGUUUUUCGUAAGGAUUUGAGUAUUAUUCCAAAUAAGAACUCUUAUCUGCAACUGAUCUUCAUUCUCCAAAUGAUGGUUCCAAAGUUUAAGUUGCAUAUCAGGGUUUACCAGGAACAUUUUAAGAAGAAUCCACUCACAAUCAAGUAUCCUAUGCUCUUAGCCAAAGUCCCCUUGCACUUCCUUACAAAUCCUUAUUGAACUCAAGUUCGUGGUGAAUCACUAAAAAUCUUUGAAAUUCUUUCCAUCUCUUUGUUAAGUGGACAUAAGUGAGAAUCAUCCAACAUCAAAACAUCAUGUGUGGAAACUGUCACAUCUUAUCCUAAAUUCAGUUUGACUGCAAAGUCAAAUCAACUCACCAACCUUAUGACAUCAGCUACUUCCAAAUGAAGGAAGCUCAUAUCACAUUCCAGUCAAUCGUAUAGAUCCUUCUCAUGGUGUAGCUAGGACACGAAAUGCAAGUUACUUUGCAAACCCUCCAAUCACCAACUUUCGUCGUACAACUAUCUCAUCGCAUAGAUGAUUUUUAUCGAUCGAGUAGUUCAGAACGCGAUUAAGGUAUGACGUCUGGCCUAGUUACAAUCACAUACUUAGAACCUUAAUGACAAACUUAUGAUAUAACAAAGCAUGAACAACAAGCAAGCAGUUAACUGGGCACAACAAUUGAUUUUGAUCUCCAGGUAACAAAUGUUCCAUAAACCGUCAACUUAAGAACAUCCAACCUUAAUCAUCUUAUCUGACUUGUGAUCAAAAUCUAAUCAAGUGAUUCUCUUGUAACAUGUUUUACAAGAUUAACAAUUUGGUGGACCUGAUUAACAAUUUGUUCAAAAGAGUAAUCAAUAUCAAAGCAUAAAAAUAAAAAAGAGUAAUCGUUACCAAAUAGCAACAAGUAUCAUUACGUGCCGAUAUUAAAUAGUAACCAGACACAAAUCGGAUAGCAAUCAGUAUCCUUAAUAAUCAUCAUCAAAUAGUGAUCACAC